rnacentral:rRNA from 1 species
CCUACGGGCGGCAGCAGUGGGGAAUAUUGCACAAUGGGCGAAAGCCUGAUGCAGCAACGCCGCGUGAGCGAUGAAGGCCUUCGGGUCGUAAAGCUCUGUCUUCAAGGAAGAUAAUGACGGUACUUGAGGAGGAAGCCACGGCUAACUACGUGCAAGCAGCCUCGGUAAUAGGUAGGGGGCUAGCGUUAUCCGGAAUUACUGGGCGUAAAGGGUGCGUAGGUGGUUUCUUAAGUCGGAGGUGAAAGGCUACGGCUAAACCGUAGUAAGCCUUUGACACUGGGGAACUUGAGUGCAGGAGAGGAGAGUGGAAUGCGUGGUGUAGCGGUGAAAUGCGUAGAUAUUAGGAAGAACACCAGUUGCGAAGGCAGCUCUCUGGACUGUAACUGACACUGAGGCACGAAAGCGUGGGGAGCAAACAGGAUUAGAUACCCUGGUAGUC